rnacentral:lncRNA from 10 species
GUUCUGCAGGCUUACAAGCCGCGGCUUCUGGGGAGGCGUCAGGGAGCUUUUACUCAUGACCGAAGGCAAAGUGGGAGCAGACACAUUACAUAACCAGAGCAGGAACGACAGAGAGUGUGGCAGAGGAGCCACAUACUUUAAACAUCCAGAAUUGGAGAGAACUCACUCACAGCCCACUACCACAAGGCUACCACCAAGCCAUCUGAGAUCCACCUCCCGACUCAAACACCUCCCAGUAGGCCCCACCUCCCACACUGGGAAUUACAUCUCAGCAUGAGAUUUAGCAGGAAUAUGUAUCCCAACUAUAUCAGAGGGAGUCUUAGGACAAUUGCAUUUCCUUUAGGUAUCUGUUCUAGGUAAGAAGCCUCAUGUACAGAAAGAACUUAGACUUUGGAUUCAUCUAGGGAUAGACCGCAGACCAUAGACAAGUUAUUCAUUCUCUCUGGGCUUCAGUUUUCUCAUCUGUUAAACUGGAAUAAGAAUUAUAUCAACUGGAUGAGAUUGAUGUGGGAUUACGUGAGGUAAUAUGUGUAAAGCACUUCAAAUAAUGCUAGACACAGAGUAUGAUCUCAGCAUGUUAGUUGCUACCAAGCCAUCACACUAAUAUUUUUAAUUAUCUAUGAACUGGGACUGAAAUUAGCACCACGUCAUCAGAUUUUAAAAAGUAAAUGAGAUAAAAUAUGUAAAAUGUGUACUUUUUCAUAGUAAAUUCUCAGGGGAUGUCAGCUGUUAUAUUAUUGUUCUUAAAACUUUGGUUUACUUCCUAUAAUAUGAAGUCAAGAAGAUGGAUGCUGUGGUUUCCUCUAUGUAACAGGGCAAGUCUUUCUUCCCUGUAAUAUAACAAAUGGAGCUUUAUCAACUACCCUGGCUUUUGGCAAAAAGUAAAUUUUCAAACUGAAUGUGCUUUAGAAUAAUUUUCAGACAGUUAUAAAUGUAACUCUCACACAAAGAUAAAAUGAAUAUAUGUCAAAAAUUUCAUUAAACUCAUUAAUGAAGGAACCAGUAGGAUGUUAAAACAAGUUCAAUAUAGAGUUUAUAGAGCAAAGCUAAAGCCAAGAAUGUUGAAAUGCAUUUUCUAAGAGAUGCAAAACUGGUUAAUAUCCUAUAGGACCAUAUAAUGUAAUAAUUGCUGUUAUCUUUUCUACAGAGCAAAAAUUAAUUGUAUAUCAUCCAGACAAAAUUUACUUACAUUGAUACAGACAAGAAUCACUUUUAUUACUGUCAGUUUUCUAUAAUUUAACUUGUAUUCCUGUAAGUGCUAACCCAUAAAAAGCCAGUUAAAGGUACAUGGCCCUAUGGAAUCAGAUCAUCUCUGAAAGUUUGCAUGACAAGACUCAGCAUUUUAUCAAAAGGACACCUAAUAAUAUUUUUUGCCCAUUUCCCAUCUUGAACAUUUAUUUUCAAACAAGUGCUGCUUCUGAAUACUGCCCUUUCAAGGAGAAGUUAUUUAUUCUAUGACAAUUUUACAAUACAUAUUAGACAGUCCCCUCCUAUCUAUACCACUGUGUGUAUAUGUUUAUAGACUUUUUAAAACAUUGUUUGCCAACUUAUUUUUCCAGUUGUAUUUAUUUAUUGGUAUAUAAAAAGACUACACAUAAUUAAUGCAUACAAUUUGGUGAGUUUGACCCACCUGUGUGUUACCAUCACCAAAAUUCAGGUAAUAAUUAAAUGUUCUUCUCAUUAUAAUCAAUGAAACUCAUUAACACAUUGUUAUCACCCAAAGUACAUAGUUUAAAUUAGGCUCACUCUUUAUGUUGUACAUUCUAUAAGUUCUGGCAAAUGUAUAAUAACAUAUAUCCACUAUUGUAGUAUCAUGUAAAGUGGUUUUACUUUCCUAAAAAUCCUCUGUGCUCUAUUCAUCCUUCUCUCCCUCCAACCCCUGGCAACCACUGAUGUUUUUACUGUUUCCAUAGGUUCGCCUUCUCCAAAAUGUCUUAUAUUUGGAAUCAUACAGUAUGUAAUAUUUUCGUAUAAGCUUAUUUCACUAGUAACAUGCAUUUAAGUUUUCUCCAUGUCUUGUUAUGGCUUCACAGCUCAUUUCUUUUUAGCACGGAAUAAUACUCCAUUGUCUGAAUGUACCACAGUUUGUUUAUUGAUUUGUCUACUGAUGGUCAUCUUGGUUGUUUCCAAGUUUUGACAAUUAUAAAUAAAAUUGCUGUAAACAUUUGUGUCCAGGUUUUUGUGUGGCCACAGAUUUUCAAUUCCUUUGGGUAAAUAUUAAGAAGUGUGAUUACCUUGUCAUAUGGUAAAAGUAUGUUUAGUUUUAUUAGAAACUGCAAAACCAUCUCCCAAAGUGGCUGCACCAUUGUACAUCCCUACUAGCAAUGAAUGAGAGUUCCUGUUGCUCCACACCAUCUCCAGCAGUUAAUGUUGUACUAAAUACUGUCCAUCUCUUUAAACAUUUUACCUCUCUACGGGCCCCAUGCACAUGAAGAGACAAGAAACCAGUGAAUAAUUACACAGUAAAAUGUACUUUGCCAACUAAAAACAAGAGGGUGGGAAAAGGCAGAAGAGAGAAGAGAAGUAGAGAAAAGGGUCAGAGAAGUUCAACGCUACAGUGAAUGAAGAAAUGUGCAAUUCUAGUAUCUAAGGCUAAUACUCUAAUGUUUUUUGUUGUUGUUUUCUUGUUUUGUUUUGAUUUCAAUAUUCUUUGAGAUGAAGAAAAUAAGAUUUUUGCUUUUACAUAAUAUUGUAGUAUUGUUUUUGUUUUUUCUAUUCACUGUCUGCUAUGGUUUGAAUAUUUGUGCCUCCCCCAAACUCAUAUAUUGAAAUCCUAACCUCCCAAUGUGAUGGUAUUAGGAGGCGGGUCCUUGGGAGAUGAUUAGCUUAGGAGAACAAGGCACUCUCUAAUAGGUUUAGUGCCUUAAAAAAGAAAAGUGCUCUCUUCUACCAUGAGAGAUUAUGGUGAAAAAACCAUCAGAAAGAAGGCCCUCCCCAGAACUCGACUGUGCUGGCAGCCUAAUCUUGGCUUUCCAACACUGAGAACUGUAUGAAAUAAAUUUCUAUUGUUCAUAA